UUUCCGUUGGUGAACCAGCGGAAGGAUCAUUAUAGAGAUCGUGCCCUUCUGGGUAGACCUCCCACCCUGUGUUAUCUACUUUUGUUGCUUUGGCAGGCCGUCUACGGGCCUUCGGCUUAGGCUGAAGUGUGCCUGCCAAAGGAUUUUACACACUGUGUUUUUAGUAUAGUCUGAGUAUUUUAAUAAAUAAAGUUAAAACUUUCAACAACGGAUCUCUUGGUUCUGGCAUCGAUGAAGAACGCAGC
rnacentral:misc_RNA from 1 species